rnacentral:rRNA from 1 species
AUUGAACGCUGGCGGCAGGCCUAACACAUGCAAGUCGAGCGGAUGAAGGGAGCUUGCUCCUGGAUUCAGCGGCGGACGGGUGAGUAAUGCCUAGGAAUCUGCCUGGUAGUGGGGGAUAACGUCCGGAAACGGGCGCUAAUACCGCAUACGUCCUGAGGGAGAAAGUGGGGGAUCUUCGGACCUCACGCUAUCAAAUGAGCCUAGGUCGGAUUAGCUAGUUGGUGGGGUAAAGGCCUACCAAGGCGACGAUCCGUAACUGGUCUGAGAGGAUGAUCAGUCACACUGGAACUGAGACACGGUCCAGACUCCUACGGGAGGCAGCAGUGGGGAAUAUUGGACAAUGGGCGAAAGCCUGAUCCAGCCAUGCCGCGUGUGUGAAGAAGGUCUUCGGAUUGUAAAGCACUUUAAGUUGGGAGGAAGGGCAGUAAGUUAAUGCCUUGCUGUUUUGACGUUACCAACAGAAUAAGCACCGGCUAACUUCGUG